UACAGAGGUGGCAAGCGUUGUUCGGAAUUACUGGGCGUAAAGGGCGCGUAGGCGGUUCGUUAAGUCCUGUGUGAAAUCCCCCGGCUCAACUGGGGAACUGCACAGGAAACUAGCGGGCUUGAGUUCGGGAGAGGGAAGCGGAAUUCCAGGUGUAGCGGUGAAAUGCGUAGAUAUCUGGAGGAACACCUGCGGCGAAGGCGGGUUGCUGGGCUGACACUGACGCUGAGGCGCGAAAGCCAGGGGAGCGAACGGG
rnacentral:rRNA from 1 species